rnacentral:piRNA from 1 species
UAAUUGAUGUAUAAACCAGUGUCUCCUGU